GUUUUAUUUUGUGAAAGGAUUAUGUGUGAGUUCAACAGUAUUGUCAUGAUCAGAAAAAAAAAAGUAUUUUAAUCUGUGGGGACAGUAUGGAGUCCUGCAUACAUGGUAUGAGUUAAAGGCAUCUGAGUGGCAAACCACUCCUAUUAUGCUAGGCGCGUGCGUGUGUGGCAAAUUGCUUACCCUGUAGACACAGUCCUGGGUGUGAGGUCAUGUGUUGGAGUCCCUGUGCUUGCUCCACGGCCCGCUCCUUGAUUGGUCGCUGCAAGGACAGUUGGCAAGAAAUUGUACUGGUGGCUGCCUGAAAUCUGCUUAGCUCCUGCCUGAGUAUAUGUACAUGGUAACUGUGCAAUAAAGUCAGACCUGCUUCCUGCUUGGUCUCCGGAGAUCUUCAAUAGUGACUCCGCAGCCACACUCUCCUCUACCCUGUUCCAUGGACCUCCUCUCUGGAUGAGACGGAGCCCAUCACCUGGCACCCGAACAGGGAUCUGAGGUAAGUCUACACGAAAGGGUGUGGCCCCUCACAGAGCAGUGAGGAAGGGGAAAUGGGAACCUACCGAGUUCCACCGCAGACUCACAGCUGCAAGUGCUGCACACUCUCUUGGAUACUAGAGGUUUAACCCUGAAUAAAAGAAGCCCAGAAGUUUUGGGACGUAGUGAUAGAUACCAGCCCAUGGAUUAGUGUCACUGAUGUUUCUGACCCUAGGAUAUGGGACAAGAUAAUGGCAAGUGCACGGCAAGCUGAAGUGAGACAGGGGUAUACUUUACCAUGACAUUUUUUUCCUAUUGUGACAGCCAUUCAGCAAAGUUUAGGGCGCCCCGCAACAGAUCCUUGUCAUAUAAUGAUGGCCCUGAGGGAAGAUGAGGCUGUGAGAGACAGACAAGGGGAAAGCAGUGGGGGUGAAAAUCUACUUCAAAGCAAGAAACCACAGCAGGUGCAGGAAAGAGAGAGACAGGAAAUGGUACCGCUGGCCUUCAUAGUACAAGAAGAGGUGACCCCAAAUGGUGCAGGUGCACCUUCUACUGACAGGCAACGACUAUAUCCUUUUCUAAGACAAUGGCACCUGCUUCCUUAUGAGGCAAUGCCACAGCCAGCAAGGGACUAAGAAAUGACAAGGCCACAGACAGGCCCAAGCCAUGACCUCCCAGAAACCCAUUCCAGGAGGCCAGAGAUCCUUUUGAAGAUCUAUGUAGGAUAAGAGAUGAAAAGUGGGGUAAGAGGAUACCAGCCUUCCCAGUCAACAUGGACCCCCCACACAGCGC
rnacentral:lncRNA from 1 species